GACGAACGCUGGCGGCGUGCCUAAUACAUGCAAGUUGAGCGCUGAAGGUUGGUACUUGUACCAACUGGAUGAGCAGCGAACGGGUGAGUAACGCGUGGGGAAUCUGCCUUUGAGCGGGGGACAAAAUUUGGAAACGAAUGCUAAUACCGCAUAAAAACUUUAAACACAAGUUUUAAGUUUGAAAGAUGCAAUUGCAUCACUCAAAGAUGAUCCCGCGUUGUAUUAGCUAGUUGGUGAGGUAAAGGCUCACCAAGGCGAUGAUACAUAGCCGACCUGAGAGGGUGAGAGGCCACGUUGGGACUGAGACACGGCCCAAACUCCUACGGGAGGCAGCAGUAGGGAAUCUUCGGCAAUGGACGAAAGUCUGACCGAGCAACGCCGCGUGAGUGAAGAAGGUUGUCGGAUCGUAAGACUCUGUUGGUAGAGAAGAACGUUGGUGAGAGUGGAAAGCUCAUCAAGUGACGGUAACUACCCAGAAAGGGACGGCUAACUACGUG
rnacentral:rRNA from 1 species